GUGAGGAAACAUUUCCUGAUAGCCUGAAUCUGGGUUGUUGAAAUUGGACUUGAUUAUUCCGUGUUCUGCAUUCUGGUAUCAGCGAGAAGAGAUCUUGACCUUCCUCUUUGUGACAGUCUUCAAGGUAUGUAUAGAGGGAUAACAUGUCCCCACUCAGUCUUCUCUUCUCAAGGUUGAACAUGCCCAGUUCUCUCAGUCUCUCUUCAUAGGGCAGCAUUAUCAAACCCUGCAUCAUUUUUGUUGCCCUCCUUUGGACACUUUCUAAUCUUAAAAAUGUGCACUGUUACUGAAAUCCUUCCAGCCACAACAUCCAGGGAAGUUCAGAAAGACUUCUUAUAUUUUAAUUCUUGCAAAUACUUUUUGCCAUUUUUAGAUUUUUUCUUCUUCUUUGUAUUUGUAAAUGCCAUGUAAAUUCUGAUUUCCUUAAAAUAACUUCACCACCCUGUACUUUGGGAGUUUCAUCACUGCCCACACCUAAUUGCUCUGGUGCACCUGUAGCAGUCUUAAUUAAUACUUCAGUUCACACAAAGCACAUCAGAGUCAUAAUUUGGUUGCGAAAUUGCCCUACCUUUAAACAAACGGUGUGAUUUGUCUAAUGGUGGAAAAAAUUAUAUCAAUGGGAUCCCCUCAAAUCCUUUACCUGAAAUGUGUCUGUUCCUUGGAAGCAACAGAACUAUCCUAUAUUUUUGUACUAGCUUUGGCUGUAGGAUGUUAUGGGGUUAAGUCAUUGUAUAUUUGUGCAUGCACACACAAGUGUGCUACUCAUUUUUGGCCAAAAGGCUAAUCGUUUAGAGGUGAAAAGUUAAUUAGAACUUAGAAGUCAAGAAGUUGUGCUUAGAGGGGAAGGAGAUUACAAAGUUCAACAUAAGAUCAGGGGUAGAGAGAGAACUGUCUUAACUCAGGGGACAGAAACUUAGGCCAGUACCACCAUGUCUGUGUGCCAGUUGGAACCAAUACAAGUGCUACAGCGAAAUCAUGGUUGUUAAAGUAGAAAUGCAUUAAGGUAAGUCAGCAGAGCUUCCUGUCCUGAUCUAGAAAUAAGAAUUUCUGCUUCUUUCUGUAGUUCCUUUAAGUUCCUGUUGGGCUGACAGUGGGAAUUGGAUACUACCAUUGGAUACUGCCCUUGGUCUGCAGAAAUGACCAGUAACUCCUAAUGGAAAGAAAACAGUACUGCUAGAAGAUAUAAGUAAACACAAAAGGACAGAGAAAGAAGAAGAAAGAAAUGAAGCCCAGAGUUUAGAGCAGAGAAAUUAUGUGAGCUGCUGGAACUGGAGAACCGGUUGAGAAAGCUGGACCAGUUACUGUAAUACAAUAAGAUAUUGCUUGGCUAAGGACUUGAACAAAACAGGGAUACAGACUAGUUAGAUUAGAUGGAUGGUUUUCCCAUCCAAAACUGGUGUGGACAAAACUUCAUGGAAUAAGCACAGAGAGUAAGUGUAACAUUUUCAACAGUGUGGUUAGUCAAUUACAGUUGUAUGUAGCUUACAGCAAAAAAGCAAUAUUUAUUAGCGCUUGAAGCCACCCACCUAGAAGCAAGCUGUGUGGGGGUAAUCCACAGGAGUGUAGUGUUCAGUUCCCCUUUCCAGAAACACUUUCUUCUCUUUAAACAGAAAUCCAAACUCUACUGUACUGGGUCAGAUUCACAUUAAGAGAGUUAUGUUCUGCUGUUUCUCCUGAACAUAUUAAAUUAAUUGAUCAAACUGAAUAAAUGCCAUGCUUAGGUUCUGUAUUAGCUACCAGGAUGCACAGACCAGGAAAGCUUCAGCCUUCUUCACUAUGGAGUACUGGACCAGUGCAAUCAGUUGGUGAGACACAACAUCAUAUUUCCUCUUGUCCAACUGAAUUUUCCCUUCCCUUGGGCAGCCAUGAGCUGAUUCUGGGGCAUGUGGUUAUCUGCAGGGAAAGAUAGAAUCCAUUCAGUUAAUGUCAGAAUGACAUGAUUGGAUGCAACCCAACAAGUGUGAAAAAGAGAUAGAAUGGAGCUGAAUGAGAAUGUAGGGGGUGUGCUGAUGAAGCUUUGCUUUUCCUUUGUCAUCUGUGUGUCUGAAUUUGUCCUUUUCCCCGACUAUUUUAUUUCAUAUGUUUCAUUUCAAACCUUAAGCUGUGGAACUAGAACUGUGGGGAGCAUAGAAAUCUUAAGCAUGUUAUGAAAAAUGACUGUUGUCAUUAUAUUUCAACAUUUUCAGUUCGAGAUUAAAUUGAAACCUUUUCAGUAUGAGAUUAUAUUUAAACAUUUUCAAUAAAUGAUUUUGAAGUCAUUCCUCUAAGUAUGUUUAUGACUGUGUUCUGAGCAAACUUUUUCAUAAGACUACAUUUUACUGAAAGGGACUGCAGCUCUCAAACAAAGCCGUGCAUAGAGAUAUAACUUUCUGAAAUAUUUUUAGACAUAAGAAAAAUGUGUCACCAUUUCUCUUUCAAAGGAAACUAUUUCAGACAAUGUGGCAGUUUGGAAAGCACGGUACUGUGUAAGACAAGACAUAUGGAAUUCCUCCCUGGUGUAAGAAUGCCAUUAAUAGCAAAAGGAUUAUUAGCAGAGGAAGUCAGAACUUUUGUCCACUUCUAUGCUGUGUUUCUUGCCAUCCCAUAAUAUUUCAGAUUAUUUGUCUCAUGAAGAGAUGAGCUGGGACCAAGGAACCACUCUGUCACAUUUGCCAUUUCUGCAUUCUGGGUUUCCACAUGCUUUAAACAUGCAUCUAAGCUAGGACCACACAGAUCAGACAGAAUACAGAGCCUUCUGUGAAGCUUUUGGAGUUGGCAUGAAACGUAAUCACUUCAUCCACUUGACCAAUAUGACCCCUACUGCUGUAGCAUUAGAACCCUGACCACAUGGAAACAAGCACCACAGCACAGUGGCUUUUAUGUAUCAGUCCAUGUAAAGUUCAAUUGGUGUGGGUGGAAUCAUAAAAUAAAAAUGAAAUAAAAAUACUAAUUAGCUCAUAUAGACAUAAAAGCAACUUUGCCACCAAGGACCUAAUAAACCAAAUUAUUUCCAA